GAGUUUGAUCGUGGCUCAGAUUGAACGCUGGCGGCAUGCCUUACACAUGCAAGUCGAACGGUAACAGGUCUUCGGAUGCUGACGAGUGGCGAACGGGUGAGUAAUACAUCGGAACGUGCCCGAUCGUGGGGGAUAGCGAAGCGAAAGCUUUGCUAAUACCGCAUACGAUCUACGGAUGAAAGCAGGGGACCGCAAGGCCUUGCGCGAACGGAGCGGCCGAUGGCAGAUUAGGUAGUUGGUGGGAUAAAAGCUUACCAAGCCGACGAUCUGUAGCUGGUCUGAGAGGACGACCAGCCACACUGGGACUGAGACACGGCCCAGACUCCUACGGGAGGCAGCAGUGGGAAUUUGGACAAUGGGCGAAAGCCUGAUCCAGCCAUGCCGCGUGCAGGAUGAAGGCC
rnacentral:rRNA from 1 species